rnacentral:lncRNA from 1 species
CUUGAAAAUUAGUACAAGAGAAGAGAGUUUUCAUUAAGUUCAUGAUCGGAACAUAUGCAGUUUCAGGUAUAUUUUUCCACUAGAGUCGCAGAAGUAGAUUAUUGAUGGUCACAACUAUCUUGGUAUAACUUGUUUCUAGUCUUGUAGGUUGCACAUGGACUUGAACAUGUUAAUGUCCUUUGCUUUCAGGUAAAUUUAAUGCUCUUGUUCCUAUCGUUGACAUUUCGCGUCUGGAUUUUAGUUAAUAUAUAUGUGUGUUUCCACAGGGAAUAAUAAGCUUGCAAAAAUAUAACAAGAGAAGAGAGUUGUCAUCAAAUAAGGUACUAUUGUUUAAACUCUUCUUGACCCACUAAUUAGUACGUGAGAGAAAUCGAGGUAAACUAAACAGAAGUUUAUGAGUUUGUACAUUUAUUUUCUUGAACCUAUAAGCAGUGCCAAAGCAAGAAUCGUUUGAAGAACUUGCAUCUCUAAAUUAUACAAUCAACAAGCUGGCCAUGAGUCGCGCUAAGCCUUUGCAUCCCACUU